GACGAACGCUGGCGGCGUGCUUAACACAUGCAAGUCGAACGGAAAGGCCCUGCUUUUGUGGGGUGCUCGAGUGGCGAACGGGUGAGUAACACGUGAGUAACCUGCCCUUGACUUUGGGAUAACUUCAGGAAACUGGGGCUAAUACCGGAUAGGAGCUCAUGCUGCAUGGUGGGGGUUGGAAAGUUUCGGCGGUUGGGGAUGGACUCGCGGCUUAUCAGCUUGUUGGUGGGGUAGUGGCUUACCAAGGCUUUGACGGGUAGCCGGCCUGAGAGGGUGACCGGCCACAUUGGGACUGAGAUACGGCCCAGACUCCUACGGGAGGCAGCAGUGGGGAAUAUUGCACAAUGGGCGGAAGCCGGAUGCAGCAACGCCGCGUGCGGGAUGACGGCCUUCGGGUUGUAAACCGCUUUCGGCUGUGACGAAGCGGGAGUGACGGUAAUGGGUAAAGAAGCACCGGCUAACUACGUG
rnacentral:rRNA from 1 species